UACGAAGGGGGCUAGCGUUGCUCGGAAUUACUGGGCGUAAAGGGUGCGCAGGCGGAUAUGUAAGUCAGUGGUUAAAUCUCUAGGCUUAACCUGGAAAUUGCCGUUGAUACUAUAUAUCUUGAAUGUUGUGGAGGUAAGCAGAAUAUGUCAUGUAGCGGUGAAAUGCUUAGAUAUGACAUAGAAUACCUAUUGCGAAGGCAGCUUACUACGCAGAUAUUGACGCUCAUGCACGAAAGCGUGGGGAUCAAACAGG
rnacentral:rRNA from 1 species